rnacentral:rRNA from 1 species
AUUGAACGCUGGCGGCAGGCCUAACACAUGCAAGUCGAGCGGAUGACGGGAGCUUGCUCCUUGAUUCAGCGGCGGACGGGUGAGUAAUGCCUAGGAAUCUGCCUGGUAGUGGGGGACAACGUUUCGAAAGGAACGCUAAUACCGCAUACGUCCUACGGGAGAAAGCAGGGGACCUUCGGGCCUUGCGCUAGCAGAUGAGCCUAGGUCGGAUUAGCUAGUUGGCGGGGUAAUGGCUCACCAAGGCGACGAUCCGUAACUGGUCUGAGAGGAUGAUCAGUCACACGGGAACUGAGACACGGUCCAGACUCCUACGGGAGGCAGCAGUGGGGAAUAUUGGACAAUGGGCGAAAGCCUGAUCCAGCCAUGCCGCGUGUGUGAAGAAGGUCUUCGGAUUGUAAAGCACUUUAUGUUGGGAGGAAGGGCAGUAAGUUAAUACCUUGCUGUUUUGACGCUACCGACAGAAUAAGCACCGGCUAACUCUGUGCCAGCAGCCGCCGUAACAC